CAAGCCGACCGGACGUGACAUGGAGUGUGGCAGCAUCGACGAUCCCAUUUUUUAAAUUCGAAGUUCGAGAUUGUGACUUCGGUACUGAAAAAAAUACAAAGGUGGUGUUCAUCGGUGAAGAUUAUCUUGCUGAACAAAAGGUCCUCCUGAUUGAAUGUCGACUGCAAAGUCAAUGGAUGGUGGAAAUUGGGACUGACAUCUGACCAUAUUUUAAGAUCCUUCUGGGUGUCUCCUGCACACAUUUGGCUCAACUCAGCGCUGUCAUGAAUAUUACAUUGAGGCUCAGGAGGGAGAGAAGAGGCGCGCGGAGCUGUGCAGCAGAAUUACACUCCAGGCAGAGUGAGAUUCCUGCCAGUGUUGAGGCACAGUGUGACAGUGUGGCUCGGUGCUGCGGUGACUCACGCUGCUGAGACCGGAGACAAGCAGCCCAAACACCACACGGUGGGAGAGAGGUGGGAGCGGCAGCAAUAGCCUAAAGUUUCAAGGACCAAAUGGUUGGUGCUGCAUAUUGUAAUGGUUUGACGUCAAACUGCGUAUGUUUUACAUUUCCGCAGGUUUUUUUUUUUUUUUUUUAAUAGCUUCCGGUUUCCUGUAAGCACUUAAAUGCACCAACAAAUAAGAUAAUGCCUAAGCAAUGCCUGCUUAUGAUUUGAUUGUGGUCUCAUACAGUGACUGGGGUGAAAAAAAAAAAAGCAGACUACCUCUUUAUUCUCUCUACAGGUUGGUUACUCAUUCAGUUCACUCAUUCAAUAUGCAGUCGCCAUCAUGCUGAUAAAAAGUCGGGUGAAAUUACAAAGUCCACAAAAUAUUUCUAGUGAUUCACAGCAAAACUAACUCUGACCCUUUUUUGUGGACUAUCUGCUCGGUGGUGAAAAGAUUUUUGACUUAAUCUUCACUUUUGGAUGAACUCAUACUUAAAUGGAAAGUCAGCCUAAGAACGGAAACAGUCUUAACAUCGGAGGAGACAAGAAUUCCUUUAUAUCUAAGAGGAAAAGAAAAUCCUCCUUAAUUUAAUCUGUAAACAGCUUCAGUUGAAGAGCUCUUGGACAAGUCUCUCCAGCAAACUGCUUAGCAUUGGUCCCGAAAGAUUGUUGCUGUUGUACUGAUAUUGAUAUAUUUGACCAAAUGGGGGAAAAUCCACACAACGUUUUAAGUGAAAAACUCUCUCCAUCAAAGAUAAGAUUUUUUUGUGCGUAAGUCGAAAUGACCAGUCUUGCCUUUGUGUGUCAUAGCAGAUAUGAGAGUUAUACAAGCCUGACUAAUAUGUAUUUUGGCUGAUAUUAUUGGCCCUAUGACAGAUAUAUUGGUAUAGGCUUAUAUUUUCUGAUGUGUGCAGAUAUGAGAGCAGAUUAUUUAUUUUUUUUUACA